rnacentral:lncRNA from 1 species
CCAAGGUCAUAGAGCCAGUGGGUGGGGAGGCAGACCUUCAACUUGGGGCCAGAGACCCCCCAUUCCCAGGUCCCACCUGCCCCAGCUGGUGGCAUGUGAGUGUGUGUAUGUGUGUGGGGGCUGCUGACCGCCCGGCAGGUGCAGUCAGACCCAUCUGUGCGCCUGGCCUCCCGCUGCCCCUCGAUCUGCCCCCGUGGCCUGGCUCUGGCUGACGGCUCAUCUCCUCUUUUUCCUACAGCCUCCUGUGCCCACAGGCCCUGAGGCUCCCAUGCCAGCAGGGCAGAGAGGGCGACUGAGUCAAAUCCAGGCUGACCCCAGCCCACUUGUGUUCCCCAAACGCCUGCCUGACCGGAGGAAAUAG